GAGGCCCUACGGGGGGCAGCAGUGGGGAAUAUUGCACAAUGGGGGAAACCCUGAUGCAGCGACGCCGCGUGAGCGAGGAAGUACCUCGGUAUGUAAAGCUCUGUCAGCAGGGAAGAAAAUGACAGUACCUGACCAAGAAGCCCCGGCUAACUACGAGCCAGCAGCCGCGGUAAUACGUAGGGGGCAAGCGUUAUCCGGAUUUACUGGGUGUAAAGGGAGCGUAGACGGCGAUGCAAGUCUGAAGUGAAAGGCGGGGGCCCAAGCCCCGGACUGCUUUG
rnacentral:rRNA from 1 species